rnacentral:ncRNA from 1 species
ACGGAAGCCGGGUGAGGCCAAGGCCGAGCCGGAAGAGAAGGCUCGACCUCCCGAUCUCGGCCUCCCAGCACGGGUCCCGGUACCCACGCGGAGCCCAUACCGCGAUAACGGUAAAAGUGUUGCGGGCCUGCGUGAUUGCGAAGAUCGGACGACCUCGACGGCUCUUUGGGUAGGGCUGCGGUCGAAGCGGAUCGCAAUGACGCCGAGGCCACCCACGCAGCCGCAGAACGCACGCUUGGUAACCGGAGGUCCGUGCUGGCGGGCGGUGAGCCGAAGUAUUUUUCGAAUUGCUUCGGACGCCGCCCGCCUUUUUUG